rnacentral:rRNA from 1 species
CCUACGGGGGGCAGCAGUGGGGAAUAUUGGACAAUGGGCGCAAGCCUGAUCCAGCCAUGCCGCGUGAGUGAUGAAGGCCCUAGGGUUGUAAAGCUCUUUUGUUCGGGAAGAUAAUGACGGUACCGCAAGAAUAAGCCCCGGCUAACUUCGUGCCAGCAGCCGCGGUAAUACGAAGGGGGCUAGCGUUGCUCGGAAUCACUGGGCGUAAAGCGCACGUAGGCGGGUUCUUAAGUCAGAGGUGAAAUCCUGGAGCUCAACUCCAGAACUGCCUUUGAUACUGGGAGUCUAGAGUUCGGGAGAGGUGAGUGGAACUGCGAGUGUAGAGGUGAAAUUCGUAGAUAUUCGCAAGAACACCAGUGGCGAAGGCGGCUCACUGGCCCGAUACUGACGCUGAGGUGCGAAAGCGUGGGGAGCAAACAGGCUUAGAUACCCCGGUAGUC